rnacentral:rRNA from 1 species
UACGUAGGGGGCAAGCGUUGUCCGGAAUCAUUGGGCGUAAAGAGCGUGUAGGCGGCCCGAUAAGUCCGCUGUGAAAGCCCUGGGCUCAACCCAGGAAGUGCAUUCGAAACUGGCGCGCUUGAAUAUGGAAGAGGGUCGCGGAAUUCCCGGUGUAGAGGUGAAAUUCGUAGAUAUCGGGAGGAACACCAGUGGCGAAGGCGGCGACCUGGGCCAAUAUUGACGCUGAGGUGCGAAAGCGUGGGGAGCAAACAGG